rnacentral:lncRNA from 1 species
GAGUGUGUUACACGAUCCAUAAAUUUGAUACGAUGAUAUUAUUUAUUGACUACGUACAGUUCGGUUAAAUUGAAAUUUAAAUAAAUCUUAACCAACAUCGAAAUAGUAUAAACCGGAUAUCCAUUAUAUUUUCCAUUGAUAUUGGUCUGAAAUAUAUUUUUCCGUUCUAUAUACUCGGAUACAACCACUGCUUGAAUAUUAUAUGAAGAUCACACCCUACUCCUCGGCUUUAUAAUGAAUUUUGACUGAUUGUAGACAAUGUAUAAUGUUACUAUACAAAAAAAAACAUAUUGGACUGCUAAUUCAUUAUGUGAUUUGUAGAACGCAUGAUAUGAUCAAAUUUCCUAACGAAACCAUAUUCGAAUGAUUUGUAGAAUGCAUGAUAUGAUCAUAUUCGAAUGACAUAAUCAUAAAAAUUAUAUAUAUA